rnacentral:rRNA from 1 species
UACAGAGGGUGCAAGCGUUGUUCGGAAUUAUUGGGCGUAAAGGGAGUGUAGGCGGUUUGUUAAGUCUUCUGUGAAAUCUACGGGCUUACCCCGUAACGUGCAGAGGAAACUAGCAGGCUUGAGUGUCGGAGAGGAUAGGGGAAUUCCCGGUGUAGAGGUGAAAUUCGUAGAGAUCGGGAGGAACAUCAGUGGCGAAGGCGGCCCUCUGGACCAGUACUGACGACUGAGGCACGGAAAGCGACUGGGGAGCCAAACAGGG